rnacentral:rRNA from 1 species
AUUGAACGCUGGCGGCAGGCUUAACACAUGCAAGUCGAGCGGGGUGAUGGUGCUUGCACUAUCACUUAGCGGCGGACGGGUGAGUAAUGCUUAGGAAUCUGCCUAUUAGUGGGGGACAACAUCUCGAAAGGGAUGCUAAUACCGCAUACGUCCUACGGGAGAAAGCAGGGGAUCACUUGUGACCUUGCGCUAAUAGAUGAGCCUAAGUCGGAUUAGCUAGUUGGUGGGGUAAAGGCCUACCAAGGCGACGAUCUGUAGCGGGUCUGAGAGGAUGAUCCGCAACACUGGGACGGGGACACGGCCCAGACGCCUACGGGAGGCAGCAGUGGGGAAUAUUGGACAAUGGGGGGAACCCUGAUCCAGCCAUGCCGCGUGUGUGAAGAGGCCUUAUGGUUGUAAAGCACUUUAAGCGAGGAGGAGGCUCUUUUGGUUAAUACCCAAGAUGAGUGGACGUUACUCGCAGAAUAAGCACCGGCUAACUCUGUGCCAGCCGCCGCCGUAA